ACCAAUCAAUCCAGCAAAUUCUCCGCCAGCCAAGAGAAGAGAAUUGUGGAAUGUUUUCAAAGUGCAGCAAGUGAGAGAAAUUAAGAAAUAAAAAUAAGAGGAACAAGCCGGAUGAAUGAUUGCGGUAAUGGGAAAGUAAAUAGAGAUUUCCUCCAUCAGCCUUACCAUCGAAUCUCCAUCAAGCCGAGCGUCCACGGUUGAUUCCAG
rnacentral:lncRNA from 1 species